rnacentral:rRNA from 1 species
UACGUAGGUGGCGAGCGUUGUCCGGAUUUACUGGGCGUAAAGAGCGCGCAGGCGGUCGUUCAAGUCGCGUGUGAAAGCCCCCGGCUCAACUGGGGAGGGUCACGCGAUACUGAUCGACUCGAAGGCAGGAGAGGGUAGUGGAAUUCCCGGUGUAGUGGUGAAAUGCGUAGAUAUCGGGAGGAACACCAGUGGCGAAGGCGACUCUCUGGACGGCAACUGACGCUGAGGCACGAAAGCGUGGGGAGCAAACAGG